rnacentral:rRNA from 1 species
UACGUAGGGGGCAAGCGUUGUCCGGAUUUAUUGGGCGUAAAGAGCGUGUAGGCGGCUUUGCAGGUCCGCUGUGAAAACUCGAGGCUCAACCUCGAGCUGUCGGUGGAAACCGUAAAGCUAGAGUCCGGAAGAGGAGAGUGGAAUUCCCGGUGUAGCGGUGAAAUGCGCAGAUAUCGGGAAGAACACCCGUGGCGAAGGCGGCUCUCUGGGCCUGUACUGACGCUGAGGAGCGAAAGCGUGGGGAGCGAACAGG